rnacentral:rRNA from 1 species
AGUGAACGCUGGCGGUAGGCCUAACACAUGCAAGUCGAACGGCAGCACAGUAAGAGCUUGCUCUUACGGGUGGCGAGUGGCGGACGGGUGAGGAAUACAUCGGAAUCUACUUUUUCGUGGGGGAUAAUGUAGGGAAACUUACGCUAAUACCGCAUACGACCUACGGGUGAAAGCAGGGGAUCUUCGGACCUUGCGCGAUUGAAUGAGCCGAUGUCGGAUUAGCUAGUUGGCGGGGUAAAGGCCCACCAAGGCGACGAUCCGUAGCUGGUCUGAGAGGAUGAUCAGCCACACUGGAACUGAGACACGGUCCAGACUCCUACGGGAGGCGGCAGUGGGGAAUAUUGGACAAUGGGCGCAAGCCUGAUCCAGCCAUACCGCGUGGGUGAAGAAGGCCUUCGGGUUGUAAAGCCCUUUUGCUGGGAAAGAAAAGCAGCAGGUUAAUACCCCGCUGUUCUGACGGUACCCAAAGAAUAAGCACCGGCUAACUUCGUG